ensembl:snoRNA SNORD33 Small nucleolar RNA Z195/SNORD33/SNORD32 family
CUUGUCGGUGAUGAUUUACUCUGUAUAUUUCGAGUUUUAAAUGACCAUGAGAAUACUUUACAUGCACUACCAUCUGAGACAUC